rnacentral:rRNA from 1 species
CUUCCGCGCCCCUUGCAUUCAUUUAAGUUUCUUAUUCCUCUAUCUAUAAUACUAGGGGUUGAACAGAACAAAGGGGUCCGGAGACUUUGUUACUGUUCACUUAAAUAAGAGGCGUCAUGGGGAAAGCCCCCUUCCGGAAGGGUUGAAGCACCCUCUCGGGGGACCAAUGCUUCAGGGGCCCGCAGGCGGGUUGAACAAGCCCGGAGAACAAAUCACGGCGGGCGGGUACUCCAAAUACAAGGGUCCCCCCUCCUGGAAGGGGGAACCCCCUCUAAGUGGGGGGGGGCGAUUUUUUGGAAAUGGAAAACCGGGUGGGGGGGAAGAAACUGAACCCCCCUUUGGGGCCCAGAACUUCCCCUGGCCUUUUGGGCAAGGGGCAGUGACCCACCCCCCCCCUUUCGCCGGAUUCUUACCGGACCCUUCCCUAAAGGGGCCAAAUUCAUUUUGGGAAAAAAAGAAUAGGGUGGUCCCCCACCCCGUGGUUAACCCCCAAUUGAAGGGCGGGGAUCUCCAACCCCGUGCCGCGCUUUUCUGAGGGCCCGGGAAGUCGCCCCCACCUUGUUCUAAGGGGUUCUUCAAAGGGCAGACAGGGACGGUUUAGACCUUUCGUCAAAUAAAGAAUUUGUUCCCCCAUUGUUGUUCCCCGGAAAUUCUUUGAUUUAAGCCUGCGGCCGGCUCACCGGUGGGUGUUUUACAAUUCCCAUGGGAAAGAAGGGGGCGGACCUCUCUAAAUUGGGGCCCAAAUUGGGGGGGAGCAUCGGGUUAUUCCCCCGUUUCCCCCCCAUUUUGGUCCUCAGGUAGAGGGUUCCCCCCCUUUUUGCCCUUGGAAGUUUUAAAAACCCCCGGGUGGACCGUCCCAAUUUUAACAAAACAAUUUGUGGAAAAAAAAUGUGAAAAAUAUUUUUUUUUCAAAGGGGUAAAAAAGGCGGGGGUG